rnacentral:rRNA from 1 species
AUUGAACGCUGGCGGCAUGCCUUACACAUGCAAGUCGAACGGCAGCGCGGGGCAACCUGGCGGCGAGUGGCGAACGGGUGAGUAAUAUAUCGGAACGUACCCUGGAGUGGGGGAUAACGUAGCGAAAGUUACGCUAAUACCGCAUACGAUCUAAGGAUGAAAGUGGGGGAUUCGCAAGAACCUCAUGCUCCUGGAGCGGCCGAUAUCUGAUUAGCUAGUUGGUAGGGUAAAAGCCUACCAAGGCAUCGAUCAGUAGCUGGUCUGAGAGGACGACCAGCCACACUGGAACUGAGACACGGUCCAGACUCCUACGGGAGGCAGCAGUGGGGAAUUUUGGACAAUGGGCGCAAGCCUGAUCCAGCAAUGCCGCGUGAGUGAAGAAGGCCUUCGGGUUGUAAAGCUCUUUUGUCAGGGAAGAAACGGGUCUUUCUAAUACAGAGAUCUAAUGACGGUACCUGAAGAAUAAGCACCGGCUAACUACGUGCCAGCAGCCGCGGUAAUACGCAGGGUGCAAGCGUUAAUCGGAAUUACUGGGCGUAAAGCGUGCGCAGGCGGUUUUGUAAGACUGUCGUGAAAUCCCCGGGCUCAACCUGGGAAUGGCGAUGGUGACUGCAAGGCUAGAGUUUGGCAGAGGGGGGUAGAAUUCCACGUGUAGCAGUGAAAUGCGUAGAUAUGUGGAGGAACACCGAUGGCGAAGGCAGCCCCCUGGGUCAAAACUGACGCUCAUGCACGAAAGCGUGGGGAGCAAACAGGAUUAGAUACCCUGGUAGUCCACGCCCUAAACGAUGUCUACUAGUUGUCGGGUUUUAAUUAACUUGGUAACGCAGCUAACGCGUGAAGUAGACCGCCUGGGGAGUACGGUCGCAAGAUUAAAACUCAAAGGAAUUGACGGGGACCCGCACAAGCGGUGGAUGAUGUGGAUUAAUUCGAUGCAACGCGAAAAACCUUACCUACCCUUGACAUGGCAGAAAUCCCGGAGAGAUUUGGGAGUGCUCGAAAGAGAAUCUGCACACAGGUGCUGCAUGGCUGUCGUCAGCUCGUGUCGUGAGAUGUUGGGUUAAGUCCCGCAACGAGCGCAACCCUUGUCAUUAGUUGCUACGAAAGAGCACUCUAAUGAGACUGCCGGUGACAAACCGGAGGAAGGUGGGGAUGACGUCAAGUCCUCAUGGCCCUUAUGGGUAGGGCUUCACACGUCAUACAAUGGUACAUACAGAGGGCCGCCAACCCUCGAGGGGGAGCUAAUCCCAGAAAGUGUAUCGUAGUCCGGAUUGUAGUCUGCAACUCGACUGCAUGAAGUUGGAAUCGCUAGUAAUCGCGGAUCAGCAUGUCGCGGUGAAUACGUUCCCGGGUCU